UUUCAAAGUGUGCGUAGAGUGUGGGAGGUUGGAUGAACUCCAGAAAAUUGACCAUGUGUGAGUCCAUGGGGCUGGGUGAAUUCCAGAAUGUUGUGUUGCAGAAAAACCACUUGUAAUCGUUUACAAGUGGCCGUAAACGAUUACCAGUGUCAAAUCUAGGAUUUUGACACAAACCUGAUCUGCAGGAUCCCCUGCAUGACACCCAGAGGACCAAGGUCACUCAUUUUGGUUUUUUUCAAGUUUUGAAAGGGUUAUGAGCUUCUAAUUGUGUGUACAGUGUGGGAGGUGUUGUUUGGACACCCCAAGAGGUCAUAAAAUUGACCAUGUGUGAGUCCAUGGGUCUGGGUGAAUUCCAUAUAGUUGUGGUGCA